rnacentral:rRNA from 1 species
AUUGCCCUAGUAACGGCGAGUGAAGCGGCAACAGCUCAAAUUUGAAAUCUGGCCCCCGGGUCCGAGUUGUAAUUUGUAGAGGAUGCUUUUGGUGCGGUACCUUCCGAGUUCCCUGGAACGGGACGCCAUAGAGGGUGAGAGCCCCGUCUGGUUGGACGCCAAUCCUUUGUAAAGCUCCUUCAACGAGUCGAGUAGUUUGGGAAUGCUGCUCUAAAUGGGAGGUAUAUGUCUUCUAAAGCUAAAUAUUGGCCAGAGACCGAUAGCGCACAAGUAGAGUGAUCGAAAGAUGAAAAGCACUUUGAAAAGAGAGUUAAAAAGUACGUGAAAUUGUUGAAAGGGAAGCGCUCAUGACCAGACUUGGGCUCGGUUGAUCAUCCAGGGUUCUCCCUGGUGCACUCUCCCGGCCCAGGCCAGCAUCAGUUCGCCGCGGGGGACAAAGGCGUCGGGAAUGUGGCUCCCUCGGGAGUGUUAUAGCCCGUCGUGCAAUACCCUGUGGUGGACUGAGGUUCGCGCAUUCGCAAGGAUGCUGGCGUAAUGGUCAUCAGCGACCCGUCUUGAAACACGGACCAAGGAGUCGUCUUCGUAUGCGAGUGUUCGGGUGUCAAACCCCUACGCGUAAUGAAAGUGAACGCAGGUGAGAGCUUCGGCGCAUCAUCGACCGAUCCUGAUGUUCUCGGAUGGAUUUGAGUAAGAGCAUACGGGGCCGGACCCGAAAGAAGGUGAACUAUGCCUGUAUAGGGUGAAGCCAGAGGAAACUCUGGUGGAGGCUCGCAGCGGUUCUGACGUGCAAAUCGAUCGUCAAAUAUGGGCA